rnacentral:rRNA from 1 species
GAGUUUGAUCGUGGCUCAGGAUGAACGCUAGCGGCAGGCCUAACACAUGCAAGUCGAGGGGCAUCACGAGGUAGCAAUACUUUGGUGGCGACCGGCGCACGGGUGCGUAACGCGUAUGUAACCUACCUAUAACAGGGGCAUAACACUGAGAAAUUGGUACUAAUUCCCCAUAAUAUUCGGAGAGGCAUCUCUCCGGGUUGAAAACUCCGGUGGUUAUAGAUGGACAUGCGUUGUAUUAGCUAGUUGGUGAGGUAACGGCUCACCAAGGCAACGAUACAUAGGGGGACUGAGAGGUUAACCCCCCACACUGGUACUGAGACACGGACCAGACUCCUACGGGAGCAGCAGUGAGGAAUAUUGGUCAAUGGACGCAAGUCUGAACCAGCCAUGCCGCGUGCAGGAAGACGGCUCUAUGAGUUGUAAACUGCUUUUUG